UCCCCUUGUAAUCAAUUGUAGCAGGCAUAAUAGGACAAUAAUGAUAGUGAGUUAGACCUGGCUGCACGGUUACUGCCAGACAGAUAAUGCAAAACCCAACAAUAAUAAUAAAAUAGUGAGGUGGACCUGUCCAACUACAGGGUGCGUGUGCAGUGCCAGACAGAUAAUAUGAAUCCAUUCUACAGUUACUGCAAGAAGUGUUUCAAGGUUCUUACCCUCUUCUGGUGAAUUUAUAGCAAAAUAUCAAUAAGAAAUAGUAAAAGUAAAGUGGACCUGUACAGCUACAGGCUGUGUGCGCAGUGCAAGGCAGAGACUAUCGAGCCAUUCGACAGAUACUGCAAGAAGUGCUUCAAGGUUCUUACCCUCUUGUGGUAGAUUUAUAGCAAAAAAAUAAUAAGAAAAUAAGUAACAGUGAGGUGGAACUGUACAACUACAGGCUGCGUGCGCAGUGCCAGACAGAGACUAUCGACCCAUUCGACAGAUACUGCAAGAAGUGUUUUAAGGUUCCUACCCUCUUCUGGUGAAUUUAUAGCAAAAUAACAAUAAGAAAUAGUAAAAGUAAAGUGGACCUGUACAACUACAGGCUGCGCGCGCAGUGCAAGGCAGAGAAUAUCGACCCAUUCUACAGAUACUGCAAGAAGUGUUUCAAGGUUCUUACCCUCUUGUGGUAGAUUUAUAGCAAAAAAAUAAUAAGAAAAUAAGUUACAGUGAGGUGGAACAGUACAACUACAGGCUGCGUGCGCCGUGCAAAGCGAAGAAUAUCGACCCAUUCUACAGAUACUGCAAGAAGAGUUUUAAUGUUCUCACUCUCUUUUGGUCAGUUUAUAGCAAAAAAUAGUAAUAGUGAAUUGGACCUGUAAAGCUACAGGCUGCGUGCGCCGUGCAAAGCGGAGAAUAUCGACCCAUUCUACUGAUACUGCAAAAAGUGUUUAAAGGUUCUCUUGUGGUAAAUUUCUGUUUCUUGAAUCCUAGGUCUUCUAUACAGUGGAACACCUGAACAUCUUUAGAAUUUUCUAAUUUGGAACAUUUAAUUUUAUUUGCUAUUACUUUUUAAUACAAUUGUUUCUAAUUAAUUAAAUGCAUAUAAAAUC